GAUGAACGCUAGCUACAGGCUUAACACAUGCAAGUCGAGGGGAAACGGCAUUUAGUGCUUGCACUCUUUGGACGUCGACCGGCGCACGGGUGAGUAACGCGUAUCCAACCUUCCCAUUACUGUGGGAUAACCUGCCGAAAGGCAGACUAAUACCGCAUAGUCUUCGAUGACGGCAUCAGAUUUGAAGUAAAGAUUUAUCGGUAAUGGAUGGGGAUGCGUCUGAUUAGCUUGUUGGCGGGGUAACGGCCCACCAAGGCUACGAUCAGUAGGGGUUCUGAGAGGAAGGUCCCCCACAUUGGAACUGAGACACGGUCCAAACUCCUACGGGAGGCAGCAGUGAGGAAUAUUGGUCAAUGGACGGAAGUCUGAACCAGCCAAGUAGCGUGCAGGAUGACGGCCCUAUGGGUUGUAAACUGCUUUUGUAUGGGGAUAAAGUUAGGGACGUGUCCCUAUUUGCAGGUACCAUACGAAUAAGGACCGGCUAAUUCCGUG
rnacentral:rRNA from 1 species